rnacentral:misc_RNA from 1 species
UCUCCGUAGGUGAACCUGCGGAGGGAUCAUUACAGAGUUCAUGCCCUCCGGGUAGCUCUCCCACCCAUUGCUAUAUCUACUCUCGUUGCUUUGGCGGGCCGCUGGGCCCUGCCCGGCCGCCGGCCCCGGCUGGCGCGUGCCCGCCAGAGACCUCACAAACUCUGAAUGUUAGUGUCGUCCGAGUAACUAUACAAUCGUUAAAACUUUCAACAACGGAUCUCUUGGUUCUG